rnacentral:rRNA from 1 species
CCUACGUGUGGCAGCAGUGGGGGAUAUUGCACAAUGGGGGCAACCCUGAUGCAGCGACGCCGCGUGAGCGAUGGAGUACUUCGGUAUGUAAAGCUCUGUCAGCAGGGAAGAGAAUGACGGUACCUGACCAAGAAGCCCCGGCUAAAUACGUGCCAGCAGCCGCGGUAAUACGUAUGGGGAAAGCGUUAUCCGGAUUUACUGGGUGUAAAGGGAGCGUAGGCGGCAGGGCAAGCCUGAUGUGAAAGCCCGGGGCUCAACCCCGGGACUGCAUUGGGAACUGCCCCGCUCGAGUGCCGGAGGGGCAGGCGGAAUUCCUAGUGUAGCGGUGAAAUGCGUAGAUAUUAGGAGGAACUCCGAUUGCGAAGGCAGUUCACUGGACUGCAACUGACACUGAGGCUCGAAAGUGUGGGUAUCAAACAGGAUUAGAUACCCGAGUAGUC